CCUACUGUGGGCAGCAGUGGGGAAUAUUGGGCAAUGGGCGCAAGCCUGACCCAGCAACGCCGCGUGAAGGAAUAAGGCUCUCGGGUUGUAAACUUCUUUUAUCAGGGACGAAGCAAGUGACGGUACCUGAUGAAUAAGCCACGGCCAAAGACGUGCCAGCAGCCCCGGUAAUUCGUAGGUGGCAAGCGUUAUCCGGAUUUACUGGGUGUAAAGGGCGUGUAGGGGGGAAAGCAAGUCAGAUGUGAAAACCAUGGGCUCAACCUGUGGCCUGCAUUUGGAACUGUUGUUCUUGAGUACUGGAGAGGCAGACGGAAUUCCUAGUGUAGCGGUGAAAUGCGUAGAUAUUAGGAGGAACACCGGUGGCGAAGGCGGUCUGCUGGACAGCAACUGACGCUGAGGCGCGAAAGCGUGGGGAGCAAACAGGAUUAGAUACCCCAGUAGUC
rnacentral:rRNA from 1 species